rnacentral:rRNA from 1 species
GCCCAAGAGAUCGGGAUAACACCUGGAAACAGAUGCUAAUACCGGAUAACAACAGAUGAUGCCUAUCAACUGUUUAAAAGAUGGUUCUGCUAUCACUCUUGGAUGGACCUGCGGUGCAUUAGCUAGUUGGUAGGGUAACGGCCUACCAAGGCGAUGAUGCAUAGCCGAGUUGAGAGACUGAUCGGCCACAUUGGGACUGAGACACGGCCCAAACUCCUACGGGGAGGGCAGCAGCG